rnacentral:rRNA from 1 species
UGGUGUUAAAAGCCAUUGAGUUUGUUGAGAGUAGCGGAACGGAUAGGGAGCAUGGUAUAGGUGGGCAAAGAAUGAAAUCUCAAGACCCCACCUGGACCAACGGAGGCGAAAGCGAUGCUCUUAAGGGUAUCUGGGGAUCAAGGACGAAGGCUAGAGUAUCGAAAGUGAUUAGACACCGCUGUAGUUCUAGCAGUAAACUAUGCCGACAAUGCUGGGUGUUGCGAGAGCG